rnacentral:rRNA from 1 species
AUUGAACGCUGGCGGCAGGCUUAACACAUGCAAGUCGAGCGGGGUGAUGGUGCUUGCACUAUCACUUAGCGGCGGACGGGUGAGUAAUGCUUAGGAAUCUGCCUAUUAGUGGGGGACAACAUCUCGAAAGGGAUGCUAAUACCGCAUACGUCCUACGGGAGAAAGCAGGGGAUCACUUGUGACCUUGCGCUAAGAGAUGAGCCUAAGUCGGAUUAGCUAGUUGGUGGGGUAAAGGCCUACCAAGGCGACGAUCUGUAGCGGGUCUGAGAAGAUGAACCGCCACAGUAGGACUGGAAAACGGCCCAGACUCCUACGGGAGGCAGCAGGGGGGAAUAUUGGACAAUGGGGGGAACCCUGAUCCAGCCAUGCCGCGUAUGUGAAGAAGGACAUAUGGUAGUAAAGCACUUUAAGCGAGGAGGAGGCUCUUUUGGUUAAUACCCAAGAUGAGUGGACGUUACUCGCAGAAUAAGCACCGGCUAACUCUGUGCCAGCAGCCGCGGUAA